rnacentral:rRNA from 1 species
CCUACGGGAGGCAGCAGUGAGGAAUAUUGGUCAAUGGACGAGAGUCUGAACCAGCCAAGUAGCGUGAAGGAUGACUGCCCUAUGGGUUGUAAACUUCUUUUAUAAAGGAAUAAAACGAGGCACGUGUGCCUUUUUGCAUGUACUUUAUGAAUAAGGAUCGGCUAACUCCGUGCCAGCAGCCGCGGUAAUACGGAGGAUCCGAGCGUUAUCCGGAUUUAUUGGGUUUAAAGGGAGCGUAGAUUGGUUGUUAAGUCAGUUGUUAAAGUUUGCGGCGCAACCGUAAAAUUGCAAUUGAUACUGGCAGUCUUGAGUACAGUUGAGGUAGGCGGAAUUCGUGGGGUAGCGGUGAAAUGCUUAGAUAUCACGAAGAACCCCGAUUGCGAAGGCAGCUUACUAAACUGUGACUGACAUUGAUGCUCGAAAGUGUGGGUAUCAAACAGGAUUAGAUACCCUAGUAGUC